rnacentral:rRNA from 1 species
UACGUAGGGGGCUAGCGUUAUCCGGAAUUAUUGGGCGUAAAGGGUGCGUAGGCGGCCCUACAAGUCAGAGGUGAAAGGCUACGGCUCAACCGUAGUAAGCCUUUGAAACUGUAGGGCUUGAGUGCAGGAGAGGAGAGUGGAAUUCCCAGUGUAGCGGUGAAAUGCGUAGAUAUUGGGAGGAACACCAGUUGCGAAGGCGGCUCUCUGGACUGUAACUGACGCUGAGGCAC